rnacentral:rRNA from 1 species
AACGAACGCUGGCGGCACGUUUUAAGCAUGCAAGUCGAAUGGCAGCAGGGGCAACUCUGUGAGAAUGGCGAACGGGUGAGUAACACGUAGGUGAUCUGCCUUGAGGAUGGGGAUAGCCUGUGGAAACACAGGGUAAUACCGAAUAAGCUGACGGGACUUUGGUUUUGUUAGUAAAGGUGCUACGGCACCGCCUUGAGAGGAGCCUGCGGCUGAUUAGCUAGUUGGUGGGGUAAAGGCCUACCAAGGCGACGAUCAGUAGCCGGCCUGAGAGGGUGUACGGCCACACUGGGACUGAGACACGGCCCAGACUCCUACGGGAGGCAGCAGCUAAGAAUCUUCCGCAAUGGGCGAAAGCCUGACGGAGCGAUGCCGCGUGAUCGAUGAAGGUCGAGAGAUUGUAAAGAUCUUUUCUACAUGAGGAAUAAGUCUGGGAGGGAAUGCCUGGAUGAUGACGUUAGUGUAGGAAUAAGCCCCGGCUAAUUACGUGCCAGCAGCCGCGGUAA